rnacentral:rRNA from 1 species
GACGAACGCUGGCGGCGUGCUUAACACAUGCAAGUCGAACGGAAAGGCCCUGCUCUUGUGGGGUGCUCGAGUGGCGAACGGGUGAGUAACACGUGAGUAACCUGCCCCUGACUUUGGGAUAACUUCAGGAAACUGGGGCUAAUACCGGAUAGGAGCUCCUGCUGCAUGGUGGGGGUUGGAAAGUGUCGGCGGUUGGGGAUGGACUCGCGGCUUAUCAGCUUGUUUGUGGGGUAGUGGCUUACCAAGGCUUUGACGGGUAGCCGGCCUGAGAGGGUGACCGGCGACAUUGGGACUGAGAUACGGCCCAGACUGCUACGGGAGGCAGUGGUCGAAAAUAUUACACAACAGGCGGAAGCCUGAUACAGCAGCGUCGCGUGCGGGAUGCCGGCCUUCGAGUUGUAAACCGCUUUCGAAGGUGACGAGGCGUGAGUGACGGUAAUGGGUAAAGAAGCACCGGCUAACUACGUG